CGAUCCUACGGGACGCAGCAGUCGGGAAUAUUGCGCAAUGGAGGAAACUCUGACGCAGUGACGCCGCGUGCAGGAAGAAGGUUUUCGGAUUGUAAACUGCUUUAGAUAGGGAAGAAAAAAAUGACAGUACCUAUAGAAUAAGCUCCGGCUAACUACGUGCCAGCAGCCGCGGUAAUACGUAGGGAGCAAGCGUUAUCCGGAUUUACUGGGUGUAAAGGGAGCGUAGACGGCUGAGCAAGUCUGAAGUGAAAGGCGGGGGCCCAACCCCCGGACUGCUUUGGAAACUGUAUAGCUAGAGUGCAGGG
rnacentral:rRNA from 1 species